rnacentral:misc_RNA from 1 species
GAAACGCGAUAAGUCAUGUGAAUUGCAGAAUUCAGUGAAUCAUCGAAUCUUUGAACGCACAUGGCGCCUUCCAGUAUCCUGGGAGGCAUGCCUGUCCGAGCGUCGUUUCAACCCUCGAGCCCCCGUGGCCCGGCGUUGGGGAUCUGCCCAGGCAGGCCCCGAAAACCAGUGGCGGACCCGAUGCAGGCCCUUCCUUUGCGUAGUAAUACUGCCUCGCAUCGGGAGCCGGCGGGCUUCCAGCCUGUAAACCCCCAGCAAGUACGCCCCGGCAGCACCAAGGUUGACCUAGGAUCUGGUAAGAAUACCCGCUGAACUUAA